CAGCAGCUUAUCUCUCUCUUGUUGCCCCUGGCCUUGUCCAUCUGUCAUCCAGACAGAAGAUUUCCCUACCUUUGCCCAGGACUUGCCUGGACUUGUUCCUCAGCAAACUUUGAGUCAGUGAUACAAAAGAAUAAUCUCUUACAACGAUAACUUGUGUUUCCUGACUGUACAUUCUCUUUGUAAUUGUACAAUUAACACGUAUCACCCCUGCAUACCUGACAUUCAGUAAUCACUACAAGGAAACAUACGUGACCUCAAGUAGACCAUAGCUUGAGGAAAAAGAAACUAUCAACAUGAACGUCAUAUUCUUCCAAGCAGAGGACUUCAGAACUUCAGAUGCUGAUGAAUUAUUGUGACAGCAGAAUGAAGACACCAGCCUCAGGAUCUAGAAGAGCAGGAGAAGCAUGGAGAUAACAAAAGGAGAAGAGACAAAAAAAUGUAUGUAUUAGUUAUCAUGCUAUUGCUGAAAUUUUUUUUUUUCUACAUAAACAUUUUCUCUUUCUCUAAUAAUUAGAUAUGCAUUAUUAAUGAUUUUUUAUUAGGUCUUAAAACUUCAAUUAUAAUAACAAUAAAGUUUUGGCUUUGCAUGUGAGGGUGCUGGCUCACCCUUAACUUCUAAGCAAGAUUUUGAGAAGAACAUACUGUAAAUUCCUACUUCAAAAAGUAUAGUCUAGGACUAUUUCUUGUUAUCCAAAAGACUGGUAUCUCUCAAGAGAGGCUGGAGCAGGUUACUUUGCUUCUGCUGUUGUCACCUGUCCUUGAGCAUUAUUUUUGGAGAUAGAAAUACAUUUCUUCUGCUCUCUUGUCAGCUAUGUCAGAUUUUUCUUGCUUGGCUGUGUCUUUUUGUGAUUUUUUUCAUCAUUUUCUUGUGAUCAUACUGCUUACAGAAAUAUUUUCCUGUACUGUAGCUUUUAUUUGACAUAUUAUUCAAUAAUAGAACCGUAUUCUUGAGUUGGUAAUGAGUAUUUUUGUUUUAUUUAAUAUUUUGCUAUAUAUUUUAUAUAGAUAUUUGUAUUUUCUUCAUCUUUUUUUUUUUAACUUUAGAAGAUGAGAAUCAAGACUAAUUGUUAAGUUUUCAUCAGAGAUGCUUAUAUUAGCAGAAUUUGCUGCUGUUGCUAUUUUGGUAAAGCCAAGUCACAGAGACCUCCAAGGGGUGCUAAAUGUAUCAUUGGAACUAUAGAAAAAAUAUUCCAUAAUUAAAACAUUAUAACAGAAGCUACUGUGCCAACACUUGAGGCAGUAUAUCAACUCAUUAAAAAAACGAGGUCUAAAUGCAAAAAAAUCUACAGCUUAGUUUCUUCAUUGAAUUUGUAUAAGAUUUGGGAAAAAAAAAGAUUCUUACUGGUUAUUGAGUUUAGUGAAUCAUAAAAUUCAUAUUUGUCUUUUUAAAGUUCGUAUUUGUUUUUUAAAAUUAUUAUUUCUGCAACAUUUUACAAUUUUAAAUUUAAAUAGAAUUUUCAGGAAGAUUUGAACACAGAAUGAAUUGGAAUGAUUUGGAAAUCAUCACUUUGUUAUGGAGGAAGCUGUUGUAAAUAGGCAUGUGUUACUAUAAUUUUUUCAUUCAUCAAUAAAUAUGUGAAACC
rnacentral:lncRNA from 1 species